GACGAACGCUGGCGGCGUGCCUAAUACAUGCAAGUAGAACGCUGAAGAGAGGAGCUUGCUCUUCUUGGAUGAGUUGCGAACGGGUGAGUAACGCGUAGGUAACCUGCCUUGUAGCGGGGGAUAACUAUUGGAAACGAUAGCUAAUACCGCAUAACAAUGGAUGACACAUGUCAUUUAUUUGAAAGGGGCAAUUGCUCCACUACAAGAUGGACCUGCGUUGUAUUAGCUAGUAGGUGAGGUAAUGGCUCACCUAGGCGACGAUACAUAGCCGACCUGAGAGGGUGAUCGGCCACACUGGGACUGAGACACGGCCCAGACUCCUACGGGAGGCAGCAGAAGGGAAGCUUCGGCAAUGGGGGCAACCCUGACCGAGCAACGCCGCGUGAGUGAAGAAGGGUUUCGGAUCGUAAAGCUCUGUUGUAAGUCAAGAACGGGUGUGAGAGUGGAAAGUUCACACUGUGACGGUAGCUUACCAGAAAGGGACGGCUAACUACGUG
rnacentral:rRNA from 1 species